GUAGUAGCUCAGUUGGUAGAGCAUGGGACUCUUAAUCUCGGGGUUGUCGGUUUGAGCCCCAUGUUGGGCA